UAGGGAAUCUUCCACAAUGGGCGAAGGCCUGAUGGAGCAACGCCGCGUGUGUGAUGAAGGGUUUCGGCUCGUAAACACUGUUGUAAGAGAAGAAUGACAUUGAGAGUAACUGUUCAAUGUGUGACGGUAUCUUACCAGAAAGGAACGGCUAAAUACGUGCCAG
rnacentral:rRNA from 1 species